rnacentral:rRNA from 1 species
UACGUAGGGUGCAAGCGUUGUCCGGAAUUAUUGGGCGUAAAGAGCUCGUAGGCGGCCUGUCGCGUCGGCUGUGAAAACCCGGGGCUCAACCCCGGGCCUGCAGUCGAUACGGGCAGGCUAGAGUCCGGUAGGGGAGACUGGAAUUCCUGGUGUAGCGGUGAAAUGCGCAGAUAUCAGGAGGAACACCGGUGGCGAAGGCGGGUCUCUGGGCCGGAACUGACGCUAAGGAGCGAAAGCGUGGGGAGCGAACAGG